rnacentral:rRNA from 1 species
AUUGAACGCUGGCGGCAUGCCUUACACAUGCAAGUCGAACGGCAGCACGGGAGCAAUCCUGGUGGCGAGUGGCGAACGGGUGAGUAAUAUAUCGGAACGUGCCCAGUCGUGGGGGAUAACGCAGCGAAAGCUGUGCUAAUACCGCAUACGCCCUGAGGGGGAAAGCGGGGGAUCGCAAGACCUCGCGCGAUUAGAGCGGCCGAUGCCUGAUUAGCUUGUUGGUGGGGUAAAAGCCCACCAAGGCGACGAUCAGUAGCUGGUCUGAGAGGACGACCAGCCACACUGGGACUGAGACACGGCCCAGACUCCUACGGGAGGCAGCAGUGGGGAAUUUUGGACAAUGGGCGCAAGCCUGAUCCAGCCAUGCCGCGUGAGUGAAGAAGGCCUUCGGGUUGUAAAGCUCUUUCGCAAGGAAAGAAAACUCAUCUCCUAAUACGAGGUGAGGAUGACGGUACCUUGAUAAGAAGCACCGGCUAACUACGUGCCAGCCGCCGCAGUAA